GACGAACGCUGGCGGCGUGCUUAACACAUGCAAGUCGAACGGGGUUAAGGAGCUUGCUUCUUAACUUAGUGGCGAACGGGUGAGUAACGCGUGAGGAACCUGCCUUUCAGUGGGGGACAACAGUUGGAAACGACUGCUAAUACCGCAUGAAGCAUUCGGGUCGCAUGACCUGAAUGCCAAAGAUUUUAUCGCUGAAAGAUGGCCUCGCGUCUGAUUAGCUAGUUGGUGAGGUAACGGCCCACCAAGGCGACGAUCAGUAGCCGGACUGAGAGGUUGACCGGCCACAUUGGGACUGAGAUACGGCCCAGACUCCUACGGGAGGCAGCAGUGGGGAAUAUUGGGCAAUGGACGCAAGUCUGACCCAACAACGCCGCGUGAAGGAAGAAGGCUUCGGGUUGUAAACUCUUUUAAGAGGGAGAGUAGAAGACGGUACCUCUUGAAUAAGCCACGGCGUAACUACGUG
rnacentral:rRNA from 1 species